ACAGGACCCCGCCCACUGUGCUCGGCAGGGGCUCUGGAUUGGGGAACGGCCCCGGUGAUGGGCAGGCCAGAAAACCUAUGGGGGGAGCAGGGGCGGGGCGGAGCUGUCCGCCCGCUGGAGCUGGCGCCAUGGCGUGGCUCGUCUGGCCGGUGGGCGGGGCCACCACUAGGGAGGCAGGGCCCGGCGCCGGGCGAGGGGCUGCGGCGGAGCGCUGCCUCUGGCAGCCGUGCCCCCGGGACGGCCCCUGGGCUGCUGCGGCUCCUGGGCCCGUAUAGCGCCGGAAAGCGCAGACGCUGACCGUGACCGCUAGCGCAGCCUUGAGUCGCGUUUGUCCCAAAUCUACUUUACGCGACUUUUAAGAGGCAGCACGUUUUGUGCUGCGUGGUUUUGCUUCCUUGUUUGGUUUUGGUAGCUUGUCAGCAUUUCAGACAUGCACACCAUGUAGAGAUUUAACUUGUCUUUGAGAAAAUGAAAGGCUAUAGCAGAGAGUAAGGCAAUAAUCUAGUAUUCAUAUCCAUAAUGGAGGGGACCAGAUGUCAUCAUUUUAAACUGCAGUGAAAAAAAAUGGGGAUCAGGUGUUAAGAAAAUGCUACUGACAAAGUUACUGUGGCACUAGACUGCCUAAUGGAAAGAUGAGUGUGGAGUCUUCAUCAGUUGGAGUUUUAAAGACAAGCCUCUUCAAUGUGACAAUUCACUGCAUCUUGGAAUAAAAGAGAAAAAAUCUUCACCGUUCAAUACUGUCUUCACAUCCUGGAACCUCGUUCUUGCAAAAUCUGAAAGAGACCAACAAUUUUAUAAAUGAAAAUUCUCUCAAUGUCAUUCUUAAAGAAUGAAGGACAAAGAACAACAUAAUGACUAUUUUAAAAAAAAA